GCCUCGGUAGCUUCGUGGUAGAGCUCCUACAUAUACAUAUGUGGUGAGCGAAAGCGCCUAGCAAUAACUACGAGGAGGUCGCAGGUUCGAAUCCUGCCCGGUGGCU